rnacentral:rRNA from 1 species
AUUGAACGCUGGCGGCAGGCCUAACACAUGCAAGUCGAGCGGAUGAAGGGAGCUUGCUCCUGGAUUCAGCGGCGGACGGGUGAGUAAUGCCUAGGAAUCUGCCUGGUAGUGGGGGAUAACGUCCGGAAACGGGCGCUAAUACCGCAUACGUCCUGAGGGAGAAGGUGGGGGAUCUUCGGACCUCACGCUAUCAGAUGAGCCUAGGUCGGAUUAGCUAGUUGGUGGGGUAAAGGCCUACCAAGGCGACGAUCCGUAACUGGUCUGAGAGGAUGAUCAGUCACACUGGAACUGAGACACGGUCCAGACUCCUACGGGAGGUAGCAGUGGGGAAUAUUGGACAAUGGGCGAAAGCCUGAUCCAGCCAUGCCGCGUGUGUGAAGAAGGUCUUCGGAUUGUAAAGCACUUUAAGUUGGGAGGAAGGGCAGUAAGUUAAUACCUUGCUGUUUUGACGUUACCAACAGAAUAAGCACCGGCUAACUUCGUG